UACUCCUACGGGACGCAGCAGUGAGGAAUAUUGGUCAAUGGCCGAGAGCCUGAACCAGCCAAGUCGCGUGAGGGAAUAAGGCCCUACGGGUCGUAAACCUCUUUUGCCGGGGAGCAAGGGCGGGGACGUGUCCCGGCCCGGAGAGUACCCGGAGAAAAAGCAUCGGCUAACUCCGUGCCAGCAGCCGCGGUAAUACGGAGGAUGCGAGCGUUAUCCGGAUUUAUUGGGUUUAAAGGGUGCGUAGGCGGGCUUUUACGUCAGCGGUAAAAAUUCGGGGCUCAACCCCGUCCGGCCGUUGAAACUGG
rnacentral:rRNA from 1 species